rnacentral:rRNA from 1 species
CCUACGCGAGGCUGCAGUGAGGAAUAUUGGUCAAUGGACGAGAGUCUGAACCAGCCAAGUAGCGUGAAGGAUGACUGCCCUAUGGGUUGUAACCUUCUUUUAUAUGGGAAUAAAAUGUUCCACGUGUGGGAUUCUGUAUGUACCAUAUGAAUAAGGAUCGGCUAAUUACGUGCCAGCAGCCGCGGUAAUACGGAGGAUCCGAGCGUUAUCCGGAUUUAUUGGGUUUAAAGGGAGCGUAGGUGGAUUGUUAAGUUAGUUGUGAAAGUUUGCGGCUCAACCGUAAAAUUGCAGUUGAAACUGGCAGUCUUGAGUGCAGUAGAGGUAGGCGGAAUUCGUGGUGUAGCGGUUAAAUGCUUAGAUAUCACGAAGAACUCCGAUUGCGAAGGCAGUUCACUGGACUGCAACUGACACUGAGGCUCGAAAGUGUGGGUAUCAAACAGGAUUAGAUACCCGAGUAGUC